GAUGAACGCUGGCGGCGUGCCUAAUACAUGCAAGUCGAGCGAACGGACGAGAAGCUUGCUUCUCUGAUGUUAGCGGCGGACGGGUGAGUAACACGUGGAUAACCUACCUAUAAGACUGGGAUAACUUCGGGAAACCGGAGCUAAUACCGGAUGAUAUUUUGAACCGCAUGGUUCAAAAGUGAAAGACGGUCUUGCUGUCACUUAUAGAUGGAUCCGCGCUGCAUUAGCUAGUUGGUAAGGUAACGGCUUACCAAGGCAACGAUGCAUAGCCGACCUGAGAGGGUGAUCGGCCACACUGGAACUGAGACACGGUCCAGAUUCCUACGGGAGGCAGCAGUAGGGAAUCUUCCGCAAUGGGCGAAAGCCUGACGGAGCAACGCCGCGUGAGUGAUGAAGGUCUUCGGAUCGUAAAACUCUGUUAUUAGGGAAGAACAUAUGUGUAAGUAACUGUGCACAUCUUGACGGUACCUAAUCAGAAAGCCACGGCUAACUACGUG
rnacentral:rRNA from 1 species